AAGUUGUUAACUCUUUCCUCCGAACAUAUUUCAAGGCCAAGGUUAUAUCCUGUAUUUUAUGGCACCACAAUGAAGUUACUGUUCAAGGACUUGUGCAGACUCCAAAUUGCUUUUGGCAAUGUUGAGGACUGCAAGGCAAUGCCUGUAGGGGAAGGAGGGCAGGUGAAGAGACUUAAGCUGUUCUGCGGUCAUGCUUCACCCCUGGUCUCGACCAAGUCACUUAGCCUCUCUGUGCCUCAGUUUCCCCACCCGUGAAACAUGCAGGAUGAUGCCCUAAGAAAGAGUCUAGUGACACACAAGCUAUGUGUUCUAACAACUGCCUGUGAGCACUGAGGACAAGAGGACAAGGAUGCAUUUGAGAUCUUUCUUUUUAUAAUACAGUAUCAGAACUGCUAACCCUUCUUGUACAGUCAGGAGCCUCUGGAGAGCUUUCCACCCACCAUCAGGGAUACAUACAUUUCUGGUGUUCAACAGGGACGCUCAGCAAAACCUUCAAACUGACUCAUGUGGCAGAAAACCUGGACAGCAUGUGCUACUCUGUGCCAAUGGUUAUGGAAAAGACACUAAAUCCUGAAAUGGCUGUGCUGUGAAGUAGGAACGAUUUCACUCAUACAAUACGUCAUUACAUAUUUAAAAAUAAAUGAAAGAUCAUGUCCUCCUCAAAACAACCUGUUGAGUUAUAAGUAUUAUCCAUAGUUAACAGUUGUUUCUUUUGGUAUUUGUUACUUGAUUAAACAAGAGGCGAAGGCUUACCACAAAUAUGGAUUAGAAAAAUAUGGAUCAAAAUAAUUCUACACAUUAAUUUGGGUUUUUCCCCUGAAUCUUUCAGUGGAAAAAUGGCAGCAAUUAUUUGAUUAUAAACAGUGAAAUGGCUCAGCCAGGCUCACAGGAGAGCUGUAUGUAUGUUGAUGGGAGUUAAGAACUACCAGUCUUAGGAAGAUGCAGCAGAUUUUCCCAAGUUCUAUCUCUUAUCUAAUCAAAGCUCGAAAGACUUACAGACCCAGUGUCCAGCUACUCUCAGAAAUGCCUUCAAAGGUCCACAAUUUAACUUUAUGUUUUUAGUUUACAAUGACAAACGAAAGAGUUGCCAAAGACCACCCAUCCCUCCUCUUCUCUCUCUUAUAAGCUGUACUGCAAGUCCUGUGAACCACAGUGCCCCACUGUCCGUUGUCUCUUUACAAUUUCAUCUCAGUGUUUAGUGACAAAGAAACAUUUCUUUGUUCUGAUAAACGUUACUAUUUCCUUCCUUUUUUCUUUUUCUUCUCUUUUUUAGGGCCGCUCCCGUGGCAUAUGGAAGUUCCCAGGAUAGGGGUCCAAUUGGAGCUACAGUUGUUGGCCUACAUCACUCGCAUAGCCAGGCAGGAUGCGAGCCCUGACUGCAGCCUACACCACAGCUCACGGCAAUGCCGGGUCCUUAACCCACUGAGCGUGGCCAGGGAUGGAACCCAUAACCCCAUGGUUGCUGGCUGGAUUCGUUUCCACUGCGCCAAGAUGGGAACUCCUAUUUCCUUUUAUUACAUAAUACAAUCCAAGGUGUCAACGGAAAGGGCCUAAGUGGUCUGAUACAAUUAUUUUUUCUCUCCCAGAUCCUUCAUUACUUGGUUAGUGCUCUUCACUUAUGGGUUUUACACUUACUAUGUGAAUCUUUUAUUAGAAAUGCCCUCAAAUCUGACAAUAUAUACUUAAUGGACUUAUAUUUUCUAAGGCUUCUGGAGUAUGAAAAAGUGGAAAAUUAGAAACUUGCUGUACGUUAACACAAUAUUGUCUGAAGUCCAUCCUUCCCACAUAUGAUCAUCUCCCAGGAGGUCAGCACAGAUCUGGCUUGUUUGCUUUUUAAACUCCACUGAUUAACUAAAUCUCGCUUCCCGAGGCAUAUGGAGGUGCCCAGGCUAGGGGAUGAAUCAGAGCUGUAGCCGCCAGCCUACGCCAGAGCCAGAGCCACGCAGGAUCCAAGGCGCGGCUGUGACCAACACCACAGCUCAGUGCAACACCGGAUCCUUAACCCACUGAGCAAGGCCAGGGAUGGAACCCGCAACCUCAUGGUUCCUAAUCAGAUUCGUUAACCACUGCACUGUGACAGGAACUCCUUAACGAGUAUUUUAAUUAAUGUGUAUCUGUUACUCGUGACGAACUUAAGAAAUUAAAGUAUGUUUCUCUAUUCAAUACAAUUCCAAGUAGCAUUUCUUACUGAACUUGUGCCUUUCAACUAAAAAUGGAAUUUGUCAAGAAUCCAAAUCAAAUAUUUUUACGAACUCAAAGAUGUGAAUCUACAUUAUUAUAAAUCAUACUAUGUAAGGAUUGAUUUUUAUAUGGGGAAAUAUCUUUUUAAAAAAGGGAAGGCACAGAGGUGUGACUUUUCAGUGGGCACCUUCAUUUGCCAUUGGUGGCAACAUAAAACGAGAUGCUCUUUCUGAAGUGAUAUGUGAUGAUUUGCAGCAUAUUCUGAAAAGAGCUUCAUUUUCUUUUACCUAGUAAUAUUAUUUUACAAGAAAUAAUCACUGAGAUAGAACAGUUUUCAUAAUAAUGUUGAAUUGAGAAAAAAUCCAAACAUCUAGAAACAGGUUAGACAAACAAUGGUAUUCUCAAUAUAAUAGGAUACUGCAGAGUCUUUAAAAAUCAGGCUAUGGGAGUUCUGGUCAUGGUUCAGAGGUUAGGGAACCCCACUAGCAUCCAUGAGGACGAGGGUUGGAUCCCUGGCCUCACUCAGUGGGUUAAGGGUCCAGCGCUGCCAUGAGCUGUGACGUAGGUUGCAGACUUGGCUCCGAUCUGUGGCUGUAGCAUGGGCCAGCUGAGAUUGGACCCCUAGCCUGGGAACCUCUAUAUGCCUCAGGUGCGGCCCUAAAAAAGACAAAAA
rnacentral:lncRNA from 1 species